rnacentral:rRNA from 2 species
UUGGACGGCCAUAGGGGCUUGGUUCACCCGAUCCCAUUCCGAACUCGGAAGUUAAGCAAGCCUCCGUUUCUAGCUGUACUGUACUUUUGUAUGGGAAACUAGGAAAGCUGUCCACC